UACGGGGGGAGCAAGCGUUGUUCGGAUUUACUGGGCGUAAAGGGCGCGUAGGCGGCCACCGCAAGUCGACUGUGAAAUCUCCGGGCUUAACCCGGAACGGUCAGCCGAUACUGCGGGGCUAGAGUGCAGAAGGGGCAACUGGAAUUCUCGGUGUAGCGGUGAAAUGCGUAGAUAUGUGGAGGAACACCGAUGGCGAAGGCAGCCUUCUGGGCCAACACUGACGCUCAUGCACGAAAGCGUGGGGAGCAAACAGG
rnacentral:rRNA from 1 species